AUAUUGCCAAUUCAUUUGUCAAGGGUUUUGGCAGGAGAAUGUUGGAACACCAUAAACACAGCUGGAAUAUUCUUAAACAAGCAGAAAGUUACCUUAAAUGGCAGUGAAGAUUUGACUAUACUUUAUGGGAAAGAAAAAUGAAAUAAACUCUUUCAUUGUCUCUGAGUUACAGAUAAUCGUUGCCAUGGUGCAGAAAACCCUGUAGACUGUACCCAAAUAGUCCAUUCUGACUGUGGGAUUAUGGGUAAGUGAGAACAUGUGUAUUUUAGGAAAUCAACAUGCUAAGGGGACGCUGACAACUAACUGCACUGGCUUGGAUGACGUGAACUUUGCUUCUGAGAGCAAACAUCCCAUGUGACUUCCCACGCAUGGACUCCGUGGCCUCCUGCUCGCUUUCUCAAACAAGGGAAUCCUCAUCAGUUCACCAGAAAUUACUUUUCUGUUAAGAAGAAGAAGGAGAAGAAGAAGAAAAAGGGCAGGGAGGAGCAUCUGACUCUUCACACCGGGCCGGCAUCCGCAUAAAAUACGGAUGAGGCUGCUCCCAUAACUUGUCUUAGAAAUCAGCUGCUCCGGGUUUCCAGUGCUGGCUCAUCAACCACACGGCAGAUCAAAUGAGCCAAGCGCUCUUGUCGAGUACUGCGUCCUCCUCUUUCCUGCGAAAGCUGGGGCUGCUUUAAAAUCUUAUCUGCAGAAAUCCCUCCCGGACGCUGAAGGAGCUCUACACACCGCAGGCACAGCGCUCUUCAUUACGGUCUGCGCUGGCCGGACACAGAGAGUGCGUAGCGCGCCCCCUCCGGCAGAGGGAGAGCAGCGGUCACGGUGUCGCUAGGCCCCGGGGAUGGUCCGCUCAUACAGGACAUCCGCCACACCGGGGAGCUAGCGACGCCCGAGGAGGUGAGCGGGGCGCGUGUUGUGACUGCUGCCAUCUGCAAAGGGGGAGGCUGAGGGGCGGAGACAGGGAAACGAACUGACUCUGGUUACACUUCAUGUCAGAAGUCCUGGGACUGGACGUCGGGGGUCACUGACCUCUAAGCCACUAUAAAUGCCACUAGGAUUUCCUCAGGGGCCUGCCUUUCUGUUCCUUCCCCGCGCUGCAUGCCUUGGUGCAUGAAAAGCUGCCAACAUGGAAGUGUGACGGUGAAUAAGAACAGGCGGGGACGGUGGCUCUGACUGCUACAAGGGCAGCGGGAAAGGACCACGAAAAUGCGAUCUCGCGUUGCCUCCCUACUUUAUUCUGUCUAGCCGCACCCCCGGUCCCCGGGGCCUCUCCCCCCGGCUGGCCCGCCUGAGUGGGCACGAAUCUAUCACGACUGCGGCACAAUCAGAUGAUCCGACGUUACUGGAAGCUCUCACGGAGUCCACGUGCCGCGGUGGCACAGAGGGCCCCGGGACCGAGGUCCCUCCGCGUCCCCUUGCACCGGAGGUUGUGCGGUCGCUGGCACGGGGUGCGGCUGUGGGUGCCGCCGGCGACAGCGUGGGUGCUAUGCUAUGGCUCAGCCCCGGGCACCGCAUCUGUGCGGGUCCUGUUCAGCUUUCAGAGCGGCACGCGUUUUCCGUGCGGCGAGUGACAACCUUCGGAGCGAUCAGGGAACGCUCCGGCCGUCAUUCCCAAGCCACCUUCGGAGGAAAGUACAGGGACCGCAGGCUCGUGGCUUCCUCCUCCUGUCCCCCUAGACUACCUCUUUGUGGGGCUCUGGAGGUGGACGUGGGUGGAAAACUCCGGUUCUCUGCGCCUGCGGUUCCCGCAGCUGACACCGGGAAGUGUCACGUCUCUAGGUCAAAAGAACCAAUGUUCUUCCUCCCAUGGUGCUGAAUUUAGCUAAAAUUAGGGAGAUGGGUGGAAAUUAGUGCUUUGGGACUCAAGGGCCAACCUUUGCUUUCGGCAUGUGGCUCGAGAUGGCAGUGCUGUCCCAGAACCUGAGACCAGGAAUGAAAAGAAGUUUCUAAUUAGCCCCACGAAAACUGUAUCGAUAAGCACAUUAAGAGAAUGAAAUGCUCUUUGUACUGCAAACAUACGGAGCUCUUAGAAGAACUGGAGGACAUGUUUUACAGAUACCCUCUGACUCAGGCCUCCUGGGCUGUCUCGGGAAACACGGUCAGAUGAGGGUGAAUGCUGGAGCGCUUGCGAGCGGUGGAGGGAAGGGUCUGUGUGGCGCUGUCCAAGGGGAGGCAAACAUGGAAAGAAAACAGUUAGCUCCAGCUGCCGUGGAUGGCUGCUGGCAAAAAUACUGGUUUUCAUCAACGCUCGAAGCCACAGCGGCCGGUUCCGUCAUGGUGACAAAGAGGAACCUGCCAUCUCCGGGACCGCGUCAUCUCUGCCACUUCAUGGACUUCCUGCGCUCAGGCCUCCAGGAGUUCUGCUCUUUGAAAUCAAAGCCUGAGACCCCAGGACAGGCCCAGUUAUUCUGAGUCCCUACCUGCUCCGUGCUACGGGGGACCACUGAUGUUUCUCCUCGGUUUCUAUCGCCAUCAGGCGGCCUGUCCCCUCCCCAUUUCUCUCGGGCAUGGGCAGAAAGCUGGAGACUCGGAUGAAAACAACAAAUAUUCUCUCUCCUCCUCCCCAUCUCUCCCUCACCCGCCAACAUCUACUUCAGUGUGAGAUGGAAAGGGAUGUGAACGACAGGACAGCCUGUCGGCCUCCGGGCUGGCCGGGACAGCCUGAGCUAAUAAGUUGGCAUCGAGACCUUGUCGACCUGAGAAAUACAAGGUGAUCACUUCGACUACGGUGAAAAGUUCAGGUUGGACAACUUGAUCACACGGGACGCAUUACACGGUGACCUCUUGCUGUGUGCGGUGGCUACAUCUACCUUGAUGGUGACACAGAGUUCCAAUUAGCACUUGAGGGAAGAGACUUUGCAGACAGCACACUCACCUCGACUCAGCCCGUCGGGUCCCCGGAGAAUCCGGCAUUCUUCUAUCUGGCCAAAUGGAGAAAACAUCACCCUGAUAUCAUUCUCAUUACAUUUCUUCGAAACCAUUCCUAUGAACAAUUUUCGGUCUUCCACGGCUAGGAGAUAAAAAUAAUGAAUGAGCAAAGGCCAUUUUAUCCCGUUUCUUGUAAUCACGGCUUCACUACCACAUCAAACCGGGUCCCAGCCAUGUGAGACCCAGCGUGGGCCGAAGGCCAGCUCUUUUGACUUCUAGGCUGCCUUCCUUCUCCACCCCACCCCGUCCUGCCUCUACUCUCCCUUCCUGAACACUGCCUCUUUCUGGCGCAUGUUCUUACCAACAUGACAUCUUCAGAGGACACGGAACACUGUGAGGUCCUCUCUUCCCAACCCUGUUUGGAAACUCGGUUUUCCCUAAUUUGUUCAAGCUCCGUGGAGUUGCUAAAAUACUACCAUUCCAUAGAGAUACUUUACAAUACAGGUUAAAAACAUUUUUUUUUUUUUGUAGAUAUUCUUUCAACUUGAAGAAUGGCAGAGAAAGAAAAAGGUCAGGGAAAGAAAGGAACAGAGGGAGUGGGAUAGGAAACAGAACUUUUAAUAAAGCAUUCGGUGGGAAAAACCUUCUCCCCCAACUUCAAAUAGCUUUGGAUCCGUGGAUCCAGACAGUAAGAAGAGAUAAGAGAGAUGCUCAUCUCUCUGGAGAGCCAGUAAAGACCUUCCAUGGCUGUCUGUCUGUCCGUCUGUCCGUUGCACUGGCUGUGCAGCUCUAACCAGGACAGCACAGGGUUUGCAAGUGAAGAGGACGGCAAUUCCAAGGAAAGAAUGGGACUGGGGCUCCUGAGGAUCGCACCAGGAUGACCCCAUCGGGAGCCCGUAACAAAAAAGAACAAGGAGGGAAUAAUACUGUUCUACACACCCAGAGGCAGGACUCUUGAUGAGCAAAAAUACAUUUUGGGUAUCAUGACAACAAGAAACCAAUUCCAUCGUGGAACCUGCCAGGAGGUACAGACUAGGGAAGGUUUACCUCUGAUGACCUGGGAGAUUUUCCUCCAAAUCUACAAGCUUGUGCUCAGGAUAACUGGCCUACGUUUAGCCUCAAAGGCACAAUUAUAACUGAUUUCAGGACAGUGUUUGCAGUCCUCUUUAGGAAAGAGAAAAGACAAAAAACAAAAAAACCAAACACUCCCCUGCCUCCAUUUUACAAUGAAGACAAAACAAAACCAAACAAAAAACCCACCCUAGACGCCCAUGGGGAGUUUUAUUUCCCAUGUUGCAUUUUAACCCAUUUCUUGGAAUUUAAAGAAAGGACAACCAGCUGCACCAGCACCUGAGAGGCAGUCCUGGCUUCGGGAGGGGCCCUGCCAUCCAUCCCUGCGUAGGAACCCUUGCUGUCGUAGCCGUACCAUAACCUCAUCACUGCCAUCUAACUGGCUUUUAUCUCUCGGUUAUUCUUUCCCUGGAGAGUCGGUGUCUCAUUUCCACUUAACCGACAAGACCGCCAGGUGCUUUUGGUGCCUGAGUCAAGCCGGCCCGGGGCGCCCGGGGAGCCGGGAGAGAGCCGCUGGUGAUGCUGGGGCAUCAUGACACGGGGAGGUUUGCUCUGGAGCAGACAGCCUGGGAGGACCCGCCAGGAAGGGAACCGCUCCGUCUCGGAUGUCCGCUGCAGUAGCUAAAGCCGUGUGAGCACCUGGAACCCGGCUAGUGUGACUGAGGAACUGAACUGUUACUGUGACUUAAUUUUAAUCUAAUUUUAAAAAGCCACAUGUGACACAAUAUUGGAUGGAGCAGCUCCGAGGGGCCUCAGCGAGGCAGCUAAAUGCUCUCCCCACAGAGUCCAGACCGGAAGGAAGACGCGAAAGACGUGGUUCUAGUUCGCUCUGAAGCGGGGCAGUGAAGGAACUUGCCCGGGGCCGCACCUGAUGCCCUACUCCCAGCCCUUCCCUACGAGAGCAGAGGAGGAGAGAAGGCGGCCCAGCUGCACGUUUGGGGCAGGAGAACGCCAGAGCCCAGGAUCCCACCUGCCAGCCACCCUCUGCACUUGGCAGCUCCUGAGACCCGGCAGGAAAACCAGGGCUCCGAGGGACGCCAGCGGAGACCACGAUGCCACAGGACCGUGAGCUGCGGAGCGUGCGCCAAGAGCUCGAGAAAGGUUUGACGGGCGGAGAACGUGGCAUUUAAGGUGGACUUCAAAAAGCUUGGGGAGAGCCUGGCGGAAGGAUGGGGGCAGCAAUUCCGGCGGCUUCUGCAGGGUGGCUCAAGGUAUGAGGGAAGGAAAACUCGGUCCACGGCCGCUGCCUGCGUUGAGCCUCAGCAAGGUGGACGUGGGCAAUGGCGUCACUGACUUCCCUCCUGCAGAUGAACGACUUCACGCUUCAAAAGCUCUUCUCUCUCCCAUCGGAGCAGGCGUGCAGGAGCGGAAGGAACCCGAGAGAGACAUCGUGGGGCCAAGGUCCUGAGCUCCUCUGUGGCCCUUUACACAAAGCCCGUCUCACCCCCGUGCGUGGUCCGUAGAGUUCACUCCAAGCGCAAGAACGCUACCACCAUUUCCAAUUAAAAUAAAUUCCUCCAACCACUUUCAAAGGUCCUCUGGCUUCGUAUUUCAGCAUACCCCAAGGAACCUCGGAGCCACAGUGUCGAUGGAAUCACUGGCCGUGCAAAUGCUCUCAUUAUAAUGGGUCCCGUUCUCUCUGAACCUUUAACUCGCCCAGUGGACUUCCAUCACUUGCAAGCCACAGCCCUGGGUUUUAUCUAAUUUAAAGGAGAGGGGAAUGGUACUUGGCUCUGGCCCUUAAAUGACGGGCAAUUAUCAUCAGGCAGGCUGGCCCACGUGCAGCUGACGCCUGCCAGGGUCUUCACAAGAGGGAUGAGGGAGUGCUAUCAGGGGACAAGAGGCUACAUAAUGCAGAGCUGCUCCGUUUAUUCUAAAAGGCAAGGCGCUCUUACUCCCUGAACGUAGACCCUGACGUGUGGGGUCUACUCGGGUCUCCACUCCAUUAACAUAUUCAAUUUGUGAAGGAGAGACCAGGAAGAGAGCGGGAUGUUCGGGGGUCAGGAAGUAGACCAGUCUUUUUUGGAAAAGCCUGGAACACGUCCCUCAAAAAGCAGGCAGAAGUGAACGGUGCAAAGCCCCGGUCUGGGCUAGGAGUGUGGGCUCUCCCCUACAGGUGAUGCCUGGGGAAGACGGGCCGAGUCCCUGAGCGGCAUGUGAAGCUCCCAAUGUGUGCCAGGCUCUGGGCGAAGAGCUGGGGAACAAGGCCAAGUGAAGAAGCUCUGACGCUUCAGGGGCUCACUGUGUAUGGGGGGGGGCUGACCUGUAAACAGCCCCUCGAGCACGUCAAGUGCCACGGCAGACACGAGGACAGGGUGCGGCAGGGCCCGGGCGGAGCAGGCACCUCCUUCUGCCCGGGCAGCAAGGCGAAGGCUUCUUAGCAAAGGGGGCAAGUGGUUCGAGUCCUAAAGGCCAAGCUGGACUUGCUGGCAGGACAGGGAGAAACGGUAUCCGAACGACAGAGUGUCCUGGGCCAGGCCCAGUGGUGAGAAGGAACACAGCUGUCCCUGGCAAGAAGGUCAGCACACGUGGGGGGAAGGACCCCAGGGGAGCUGCGGACGCAGCGGGCGCCCGGGUCUCAGACGAUCCUGCACGCUAAGGAACAGAAGUUGUGUCUAACAGUCAAGUCAGGCACAGAAGAUUCGAGCAGCAAGGGCCACAAGGUCAAAUCUGAAUUCUAGAAAAGUCCUUUCUGGCUACAAUGUGGUGGAUGGAUUACACAAGAGGGAUAUGGAGGGAGACAGCUAAGAGGCUACUGCAAGCGUCCGUGUGAAACUGCCGAAGGCCUAAACCUCAGAGGCAACUGGCUGGUUGUGGGGGUGAGGGGGAGAGACCACCAUUGUGGGAUCAGGGCCCCAGUGGAAGAAACACGAGAAAGCAAUUUGGGGGAGACUGAUGAGCCCAGGUCUGGACACACCCCACUCAACGUGACUGAGGCUGGAGAGCAGUUGCGGGAGUGGUUUUCAGGCUGCAGCGACAGCUCUGGGGGGUGCCCCCCGCAGCGGGAGCCACAGGCAUGCAUGGAACUGUCCAGGAGAGGAUGUAAGUGGAAAGAGCCAAGAGCCCAGGAGAGCACCACAGAGAAUAGCAAGAAAGAGGAAUCUAAGAGGGACAGGGCAGAGGGCGGCCAGAGGCAGGGCCUCAUGGGAGAGCUUGAAGAACAAGGCACUUCUAGCCGCGACGAUGAAAACGCCCCAGGAUCCUUCUGGAUUCGACAGUAAGAU